GGCAGCAGUGGGGAAUAUUGCACAAUGGGGGAAACCCUGAUGCAGCGACGCCGCGUGAGGGAAGAAGUAUUUCGGUAUGUAAAGCUCUAUCAGCAGGGAAGAUAAUGACGGUACCUACUAA
rnacentral:rRNA from 1 species